CGUGGUUUAGGCAUGCAAGUCGAACGUGAAAGCUUCCUUCGGGAAGUGAGUAAAGUGGCGAACGGGUGAGUAACGCGUGGGAAAUCUUCCCUUCGAUGGGGGAUAACAGUUCUAACGAGCUGCUAAUACCGCAUACGACCUCCGGACCGCAUGGCCUGGAGGUGAAAGGGGGCGCCCUCUUCGGAGAGCUCCCGUCGAUUGAUGAUCCCGCGUCCCAUUAGCUAGUUGGCGGGGUAAUGGCCCACCAAGGCGACGAUGGGUAGCCGGCCUGAGAGGGUGUCCGGCCACACUGGGACUGAGAUACGGCCCAGACUCCUACGGGAGGCAGCAGUCGAGAAGCUUCGGCAAUGGGCGAAAGCCUGACCGAGCGACGCCGCGUGAGCGAAGAAGGCCCUAUGGGUUGUAAAGCUCUGUCAGAUUGGGAAGAAAACCCCGCGGUUAAUACCUGCGGGGCUUGACGGUACCAUCAGAGGAAGCACCGGCUAACCCCGUGCCAGCAGCCGCGGUAAUACGGGGGGUGCAAGCGUUGUUCGGA
rnacentral:rRNA from 1 species